GUUCAGCUCCUUCACUGGUAGACGAGACGAGAGGACUAGAGGAGCUGAGGAGGCGGAGGGUUGGUUGGUGCGGGCCGCACAGACGGGCGGACGUCGCUAACGGCGGUACGGGCUUCUACGGCGCGGUUAUCGGGGGCGGGGGCGAAGACUAGGAUGGCGACCAAGAUCACUACUACUCUAUUGUCAUCUCCUACGAAGAAAACGCGCAUGACUUGAGGGGGUUCUACCGUCAGGGGUGGACAGCAUUGUUGACUAUACCUUCAAGAGGUACUAUUUCAAUUCUUCGUUCAGUAAUUUCUUCCGGUACCCUUCUAUGGGAGUUUUAAAAGAUGCACGAAACACGUAAUGUCUCGUACCCAUGUUUCGAGAUACGUAUUUAAACUCCUAUGGACCGUUCUUGUCGUAGGUCAACUUUAACAGUAGCCUUUUCCCGACAUUCUAAGUCUAAGCCUGAAUAAAACCAUUAUAAGACCAAAAGAUCACCAUACUCCAACUAAAAUUCUCCCUUCCAAUAAUUUCAUCAAUCAAAUAAUAAUCAGGUGGUCAACCAACGAUCAGUGUGGAAUGGAACGAUAACAUUAUUUUAGAAUAUAUAGAUUUAUCGAUCAGGGGUGAUUCUAUAAAGAGAGUUGUACGUUCGUACGGUGGAGUAGUAAGUUGUACGUAUUCUUUUCCGGGUGGAGUUGUACGUUGAUACGUAUAAUUUUUAGGUGAUGCUGUACGUACGUACAUUUUUAAAGUAAAAAAUACGAUAAAUGUAAAUUAAGAAUAUAUGAAAGUCUUUGAUAACAAAGUUCUUAAGUACAAGGUAUAUUAGUUUUAGAGUAACUUUAUAACGUUUGUAAGGGCGUUGUUGCACGCCCCGUAGUAGAUCAAACUUCUCAAACGUAAGCGUAAUGAAAAUAUUUUAGUGAACGAUCGACUCACAUAGUUUAUUGAUAGUUUCCGUUAACGGACACAUCAUUAAAACUUCAUAAGACAAAAGUAGAUGUCUCUUUUUCGUUUACAGACCAAACCCAUAACCACAACCAGUGUACUUUUCACCCCUUGCACGUGACAACGUACAAUCGACCCUCGAUCCGAUACCCUUUCUUCCUUCGAAAAGUAAGGGCUUACAGGGAGGUAGUCGUCUGGAAUAUAUACUUCAACUUGAGUAACCAAAACUACUACGAUUUCUCCCUUUUCGAGCAUCACUGUACUGCCAUCUUCUCUCCUAACUUCGUCGCCUAUCCUCCUUCGAACUCCCGUUGCUAAUGAAAUUUCUCUUCUUUAAACUCCUCCGAUACGUCGUUAUACUCUACCGACAACGCAUAUACCCUCUACUAAAGUACAAAGUCAACAAACCCUUCAUGUCUCUAUACCGAAACCGACACUUUUUGGGCACGGUAGAGUUGUACCGACGAACGGACUAGUUUGUUUUCUCUAAACUGCUUCGAUAGCGUGUCACAUCGUAACACGACAGUCUCCUGCUUUGGUUGCACUUUCGCGACAAGUCUGCACCUUUUCGAUCUCGGCUCGAACCUGUCUGUCUUAGUCGCUCCCUCCUGAAGGACUUUCGGUUCUUUGUGAGGGGCCUUCUGUUCCUCUAGUACGCCCUCGAAGCCAGCGACCGCCUUGUUCUAUUUCGCUACAUGGUCUUCGUCUCCCUCGAUAUGUUUCCAGACAAACCCGGCUCCGGAGUCGGGUUUGGAUUCCGGUUUUUAAAGCGGCAGGAGAAGACCGUCACCGACCACAGUGACCAGGCAAUAGAACGGUCCUACAAGUGCGCGUUCUUACUGAUCCUUCCAGGCACACUCAGAUCAACUGAGACUACGUUCACGAUGACUGCUGUAUGGCUGUGCUGUUCCCUUUUGGACUACUAUAUAGAUAUCGAACACCAAUUCUCUGUUGGAAGAAGAUAUAUAUGAACUCAUAUUAACAAAACCAUACCUCAAAACGGCCCGUGAAACCUGACCUCCCCUACCAGAGAAACACAAACAAUACUUCUAACCUUGACGUCAAAGUCAAAGUCUUAGGUGAACCUAUUGUCACUAAGUGGCCCUUCCGUCUCACAAGUCCCGGAUUCUAGAUCGUAUAGAGCACAACAUAAUGAUGACAAAUGUUCCUGUACUAAGACCACUCGGACGA
rnacentral:rRNA from 1 species